GACGAACGCUGGCGGCGUGCCUAAUACAUGCAAGUCGAACGAGUGGCGGACGGGUGAGUAACACGCGGGAAGCUACCCAUCUGAGGAGGAUAACGAAGGGAAAAUUACGCUAAUACUGCAUACGAUUGAAUGAGGCGAUGUCGGAUGAGCUAGUUGGCGGGGUAAAGGCCCACCAAGGCGACGAUCCGUAGCUGGUCUGAGAGGAUGAUCAGCCACACUGGAACGGAGACACGGUCCAGACUCCUACGAGAGGCAGCAGUGGGGAAUAUUGGACAAUGGGCGCAAGCCUGAUCCAGCCAUACCGCGUGGGUGAAGAAGGCCUUCGGGUUGUAAAGCCCUUUUGUUGGGAAAGCGGUACCCAAAGAAUAAGCACCGGCUAACUUCGUGCCAGCAGCCGCGGUAAUAC
rnacentral:rRNA from 1 species